rnacentral:rRNA from 1 species
UACAGAGGGUGCAAGCGUUGUUCGGAAUUAUUGGGCGUAAAGCGCGUGCAGGCGGCAUUGCAAGUCGGGUGUGAAAGCCCUCAGCUUAACUGAGGAAGUGCGCCCGAAACUGCAGUGCUUGAGUACCGGAGAGGAUGGCGGAAUUCCCCAAGUAGAGGUGAAAUUCGUAGAUAUGGGGAGGAACACCGGUGGCGAAGGCGGCCAUCUGGACGGCCACUGACGCUGAGACGCGAAAGCGUGGGUAGCAAACAGG